GGUUGCUAAGGUUUUGCUAGGUGGUUGCUAAGGUGUUGCUAUGGUAUCCAGGGUGGUUGCUAAGGUGUUGCUAGGUGGUUGCUAAGGUGUUGCUAUGGUGUCUAGGGUGGUUGCUAAGGUGUUGCUAGGUGGUUGCUAAGAUGUUGCUAUGGUAUCUGGUGUGGUUGCUAAGGUGUUGCUAGGUGUAUCUAACUGGUUGCUAGGCAGUUGCUACCAUUUCUAAAGUGGUUGCUAAGCAGUUGCUAGGCAGUUGCUAACGUUUUCCAGGUGGUUGCUAAGGUGUUGCUAGGUGGUUGCUAAGGUGUUGCUAUGGUAUCCUGGGUGGUUGCUAAGGUGUUGCUAGGUGGUUGCUAGGCAGUUGCUAAGGUGUUGCUAUGGUAUCCUGGGUGGUUGCUAAGGUGUUUCUAGGUGGUUGCUAAGGUGUUGCUAGGUGGUUGCUAAGGUGUUGCUAUGGUAUCCGGGGUGGUUGCUAAGGUGUUGCUAGGUGGUUGCUAGGCGGUUGCUUAAGUGUUGCUAUGGUAUCCGUGGUGGAUGCUAUGGUGUGGUUGCUAAGGUGUUGCUAGGUGGUUGCUAAGGUGUUGCUAUGGUAUCCAGGGUGGUUGCUAAGGUGUUGCUAGGUGGUUGCUAAGGUGUUGCUAUGGUAUCCUGGGUGGUUGCUAAGGUGUUUCUAGGUGGUUGCUAAGGUGUUGCUAGGUGGUUGCUAAGGUGUUGCUAUGGUAUCCAGGGUGGUUGCUAAGGUGUUGCUAGGUGGUUGCUAGGGUGUUGCUAGGUGGUUGCUAAGGUGUUGCUAGGUGGUUGCUAAGGUGUUGCUAUGGUAUCCAGGGUGGUUGCUAAGGUGUUGCUAGGUGGUUGCUAAGGUGUUGCUAGGUGGUUGCUAAGGUGUUGCUAUGGUAUCCGGGGUGGUUGCUAAGGUGUUGCUAGGUGGUUGCAAGGUGGUUGCUAAGGUGUUGCUAGGCGGUUGCUAAGGUGUUGCUAUGGUGUCUAGGGUGGUUGCUAAGGUGUUGCUAGGUGGUUGCUAAGAUGUUGCUAUGGUAUCUGGGGUGGUUGCUAAGGUGUUGCUAGGUGGUUGCUAAGGUGUUGCUAUGGUAUCCAGGGUGGUUGCUAAGGUGUUGCUAGGUGGUUGCUAGGUGGUUGCUAGGGUGUUGCUAGGUGGUUGCUAAGGUGUUGAUUUGGUAUCCAGGGUGGUUGCUAAGGUAUUGCUAGGUGGUUGCUAAGGUGUUGCUAGGUGGUUGCUAAGGUGUUGCUAUGGUAUCCGGGGUGGUUGCUAAGGUGUUGCUAGGUGGUUGCAAGGUGGUUGCUAAGGUGUUGCUAGGUGGUUGCUAGGGUGUUGCUAGGUGGUUGCUAAGGUUUUGCUAGGUGGUUGCUAAGGUGUUGCUAUGGUAUCCAGGGUGGUUGCUAAGGUGUUGCUAGGUGGUUGCUAAGGUGUUGCUAUGGUAUCCGGGGUGGUUGCUAAGGUGUUGCUAGGUGGUUGCUAAGGUGUUGCUAGGCGGUUGCUAAGGUGUUGCUAUGGUGUCUUGGGUGGUUGCUAAGGUGUUGCUAGGUGGUUGCUAAGAUGUUGCUAUGGUAUCUGGGGUGGUUGCUAAGGUGUUGCUAGGUGUAUCUAACUGGUCGCUAGGCAGUUGCUACCAUUUCUAAAGUGGUUGCUAAGCAGUUGCUAGGCAGUUGCUAACGUUUUCCAGGUGGUUGCUAAGGUGUUGCUAUCUGGUUGCUAGGCAGUUGCUAAUGUAUUACACAUGGUUGCUAAGUGGUUGCUAGGCAGUUGCUAAUGUUUUCCAGGUGGUUGCUAAGGUGUAUCUAACUGGUUGCUAGGCAGUAGUAGAUAAAAAGAAAGAGUGUUAAAUGUAGAAGUACAGAAAAAGGGAGAGCCUGAAAUAGAGAAGUAGAGAGAAAAUCAGCGUGAGAAGUAGAUAAAGAACACCCGAGAAUGUGAGAAAAAGAGUGACAAGUAGAGAGAAAUAAUGAGCGAGAGAAAGAGAAUUAGGGAAAAAGAGAGAUCGAGAAAUAAAGAAGUAGAGAAAGAAAGAGGAUGUAGUAGAGAGAUAGAUAGAAAGAGA